rnacentral:lncRNA from 7 species
AGAGCCGCUUCUGAAAAAGCAAGAACAUCCCCCCGAAGGAUGAUGGCAGCCUUCCCACAGCCACUCGGUGCAGGCAGCCACCUCUGGGGGUCACCUCUGCGGAGCACAGUCUCACCGUCAAUCCAGUUCCAAGCAGGUGGCCUCUCAGUGUCUUGCAAGUGACAGCUAGCAGCAGCAGGUCCAGCCAAGAGGCACAGCACCCUGCAACCUCCAGGGGCCUUUGUGCGACAGCAGAUGUUGAUGCCCUAGAAGCACGGUGCGGAGCACAUCCUGGGAUCAAGGUGCCACGGACUGGAAAAUGCUGCUGUGGCGAAGUUCCUGUGUGAAGACAAAACUCCCAGUCCCCCAGAAAAGUGGAGGCAGAAGAGCAGUGACAAGGCAUUGUGUUCAACUUAAAAAAGGAACGCAUGAAGAAUAGCUUUGUUUGCAUUCUGGUGAGUGUUUCUCUUCCAGAUCUUUGAAUCAGCUUUCUACACGGCUUAAGCGAUGGAACAGGAAAGACUCCAAUAUGGUAACAACGUGAUUUCUAGUGUUUUGGAAAGAUUGUUUCACGUGUAAUGAAAAGCUAGUGUCCAGAUGAUCACUGCGGCCAGAUGGCAAUUUUGAUGCCCUCGUCACUAAGACUUGUCCAAGCCCUGAUGUAUGUGAAGCUCAUCAGGAGGGAAUGCUCGCAAGAAUCAGCUAACACAAUAGCAGCAAGCUUUCAGUGACAGCGUUCAGGAAGGGUGACGAUUCAGGCUGGGAGCAGAUACCUUGGUGUCACUGGAAUCCAUGGAGUUGACACAGUCCUCUGAUGGCUGGAUUUCGGCUUUCUAAGGGAAAGCAGUGCGGAGGGAACGUGUGUGGUGAGAUGCUGAGGAGAGAUUGCCUUCCUUGCCCCAGCAGGCUGCUUGUGUCCUGGUGAUGCACGGUGACGAGAAGGCUGCUGUUCUGAACAGCACAAGGCAACAGAGGCGUUGACAGCAGCGAUGGAGAUGGAGAUGUUCGAGUGGAGGAGCUGUUGGCUCGCUGCAGCCACCCCAGCAUCCCCGGAGGUGGGCACGGGGGGGGGCUUUGGUGCUGCACAAACGACUGCAGGCAGAGGUGUAGGAAAGCGAACGCCAUACGUUUAAUAAUUUAACGUACAAAACAGCAAAUAAAUGAUUAUAUUCC